UGGGGAAUCUUCCGCAAUGGACGAAAGUCUGACGGAGCAACGCCGCGUGAGUGAAGAAGGUUUUCGGAUCGUAAAACUCUGUCUUUUGGGGCGAACGUGAGUAUGGUAAAUAAUCAUAGUCAGUGACGGUACCAAAGGAGGAAGCCACGGCUAACUACGUGCCAGCAGCCGCGGUAAUACGUAGGUGGCAAGCGUUGUCCGGAAUUAUUGGGCGUAAAGAGCGCGUAGGCGGGAUAGUCAGUCUGUUGUAAAAGUGCGGGGCUCAACCCCGUGAUCGCAAUGGAAACAGCUAUUCUUGAGUGCAGGAGAGGAAAGUGGAAUUCCCAGUGUAGCGGUGAAAUGCGUAGAUAUUGGGAGGAACACCAGUGGCGAAGGCGACUUUCUGGACUGUGUCUGACGCUGAGGCGCGAAAGCCAGGGGAGCGAACGGGAUUAGAUACCCGGUAGUCCUGGCCGUAAACGAU
rnacentral:rRNA from 1 species